rnacentral:tRNA from 1 species
GGUCUUAUAGUUUAAAAAACAUUAAAUUGCAAAUUUAAAAUUGAUUAUAUUCUAAGACCU